rnacentral:lncRNA from 1 species
AACGCAUAUUGCAACUUACAAGGCAGUCCUGUUCUCCUUCACAAAUGAAGCAUCCACAGCACAAUUGGUGACUUCACAAAGGUCCCAUGGCUCCUAGGUGGGAAGCCGCCAGAAGGCAGAUCUGAUUCUAAAGCUGCUGUCUGCAUGCCAGGCUAGUACAGCUCUCAAUCUGGGAUCAGGAAAGAGAGGUACCACAUGUGGUCAAGGAGCUCCCACAUCCCCAGGAGUCCAAGGGUUGCCAUUCUUCCUCCUUCUGUCUCUGUGAUGUCACCACUACAAUGUUGUCAUAUUGUGAACUGUUCUGGUCUGCUGGUGGAAAUAAAUGAAAGGAGGAGAAAUCCUGUGUGUGACAGCACAAAUGCAAAAAUAAAACCAAAAACAACAAUAAGAAAGCAGAAGUGGAAGGAAAAGAAUCUUAGCUUGAGUCAAC